rnacentral:rRNA from 1 species
AUAAGUGGGAAGCCCACCUGAAGAUAAGAUCUCCCUGAAGAGUCCGGGCAGACGACCCGGUUGAUAGGUCACAGGUGUAAGUUCAGUAAUGGAUUCAGCCAAGUGAUACUAAUCGCUCGAUUGGCUUGACCAU